rnacentral:lncRNA from 1 species
AUGCCUAAUUAUGCCAAAUGACAGUGAUUUACAGAAUAAUAAUACAUGAAUGACCUUAAUACAAUACAAAAAAAAUUAAACUAACUUAAAAAUUUAACACUCCAUUCUUCAUUUCAGCUUACAAAAUGCCAAAAUUACAGUUGUGUACCUGAUAUUGUCAAUAUAAGAAGAAGAAAGUCAGCAACGUAAUACGUAACACAACAACAGCAACAAUAACCAGCAAUAACCAGUCAACGAAAAUCCCAGUGACAGAUUUAAAAAAUUCAAAAUAAAAUCCAGGAAUGCCGAAAAUAACGGACAGAAACCAAGGGAAAUUUUCAGAUUUUUGAAAGACUAGUUAAUCUUCAACCCUUAAUUUCUACACCUGUAUACCAGAAUAUUUAUCAAGUGUGUACUACUUUCUCUUCUAAUUUUCAACUUUUUUUUAUUUUCUUUGUAGGUUUUUUUCUUUUCUUGAGAGUUUCAAUGUUUUUUCGGAAUAAAUGUUCAGCUCCUUUUUUUUCUCUAAUCUCUCUUUUUUUCUGUCUGUCUAUAUCCCCUAUAUCUGAUUUCAAGACUUCUACUUAUAUCCCAUCCCAUAAAUCUUUUAAUCAAUUAAAAUCAACCCAUUUUCUCUACCAAACCCAUUAUCUUCCCACUCAUCCCCAUUGCAUUAAAUAAACAUAUCACACCACCCCAUUAUAUUUUGUCCCCGAUGCCUAACAUAAAAUAAUGCAAGAUUCCCCUUUAAAUUAAAUCUUGUCCCUCCUUUAUAUUAAAUAAUCAUAUCACAACCCACCCCAUUUCAUUUUGUCCCCCAUGCUUCAAAUAAACAAUUACAAAAUGUACAAUUCCUAAACUACCCCUUCCGACCUUACUGAAAUUAUCAAACUACCCCUGAACGUAUUACAAAUUUACCAAACUACCCAUCAGCUAUAACACAUCAAUUAAUCAAACUUAACCAAAAUAUAGACAAUAUGAUCAAUUUCUAACAAUGUUCAAACAACAAUAUGAACACGGAUGAACAUCAUAACAACAAUAUCACAUGAACAUGAUUUUAACAACAUUUCAACAACAAAUUACAUGAACACAAAUAUAACAACCAAGAACAACUAAAAUUUGAUUGAACAAUAUUUUUAGCAACAACAAACCUAUUUUUCGGAUUUAAACAACAACAACAAUCAAACAAGUAUAUUUAGAUUCCUAAAUUCAAUAAUAUUGAACUUAAAAUCAACUCUAACAACAUUACAACAAACAGUUCUUAUAUUAAACUUUAAACAAGAUUAUGAGAACAAUUCAAGAAAUAAUCAUAAAUGGUAAACAAGAAAUCAAACUAUACAAAAUUCGGAUUCAAGAUCAUCCAAACAUGAACAUGAAUGAAUCUAUUUUAACACAACAAACAUGACAGAUUAAACGAUUAAAUCAAUAUAUUCCUUUAACACAACUAAAUUCUUUAAACAAAUAACAAGAUUGACGAAGAAACAAUUAUGAACUUAAACUUGCAAACAAUUUCUAACAAUACAUCAAAUACAUGAAACAAAUUGAAGAAACAAUUAAUUAAAUUUCAAUUUGAAUCUAACAAAUAUUAAACUAACAAAUAUUCACUUAAACAAUAAUACAAACAUGAAAUAAACAUGAAAACAACUAAUUAAACUUCUAUUUUGAAAUCUGAAAAUUAAUUUUAACAAAGCACAUGAACAUGAACAAACUAGAAAAACGAUUUCAACGAUGAACAACGAACAAAACAAGAAUCAAAUAUUUAACGAUUUUAACUUUGAGAAAUAUAAAAACGAAAAUGGACAAAAUAAAAUUCAAAACUACUAACCGGAUUGAAACGACGAACGACUAACCAACGACGAACUCGAACUUAGUCUUCAACGAAAACCCACCUUCCUUUAAACUCGACGAACUCACAACGACAAACGACGAUCUCAACGGAUUGAAACUGAGGAACGACGAACAGCAGCCAUGAGAGCUCGAGCUCGAGCUAUAAUCAAUGGCGACGACGAAGGGCAAAGCAGCAACAAAAACCAUGGUAACCACGCUGCUCAACUGUAGCAAGAAGACCACUGUAGCAACGACGAAGAAACUAGAAGGAGAGCAGCAGCGACGGAGGAGCUGACCACGCUGCUCAACUGUAGCAACAACACUACUGUAGCAGCGGCGAAGAAGCUAGAACUGGAAGGGAAGCAGCAGCGACAUGGAGAAGAAGACGACGCAACAGUGAAGCAAGUCGUCGAAGGUUGCUU